rnacentral:rRNA from 1 species
AGUGAACGCUGGCGGUAGGCCUAACACAUGCAAGUCGAACGGCAGCACAGUAAGAGCUUGUUCUUACGGGUGGCGAGUGGCGGACGGGUGAGGAAUACAUCGGAAUCUACUUUUUCGUGGGGGAUAACGUAGGGAAACUUACGCUAAUACCGCAUACGACCUACGGGUGAAAGCAGGGGAUCUUCGGACCUUGCGCGAUUAAAUGAGCCGAUGUCGGAUUAGCUAGUUGGCGGGGUAAAGGCCCACCAAGGCGACGAUCCGUAGCUGGUCUGAGAGGAUGAUCAGCCACACUGGAACUGAGACACGGUCCAGACUCCUACGGGAGGCAGCAGUGGGGAAUAUUGGACAAUGGGCGCAAGCCUGAUCCAGCCAUACCGCGUGGGUGAAGAAGGCCUUCGGGUUGUAAAGCCCUUUUGUUGGGAAAGAAAAGCAGCAGGUUAAUACCCCGCUGUUCUGACGGUACCCAAAGAAUAAGCACCGGCUAACUUCGUG